rnacentral:lncRNA from 10 species
GCCAGCCACGAAAGACUACAUACUAUGUCAUUCUGUUUAUUUGAAAUUCUACCAAAAAAAAAAAAAGUCAGUGGUUGCCAGAAGCAGCUGGGAUGGGGGAGAAGAAUGACUGAAAAGGGGCACAAGGGGAACUUUUUGGAGUGACGGAAAGAUGGAAAGAUUCUAUACCUUUUUUUUUUUUUUUUUUUGAGAUGGAAUCUUGCUCUGUCACCCAGGCUGGAGUGCGAUGGCCCGUUCUCAGCUCACUGCAGCCUCCACCUCCUGGAUUCAAGCAAUUCUCCUGCCUUGACCUCCUGAGUAGCUGGGAUUACAGAUGCGUGCCACCAUGCCUGGCUAAUUUUUCUGUUUUUAGUAGAGACAGGGUUUCACCAUGUUGGCCAGGCUGAUCUCGAACUCCUGAGCUCAAGUGAUCCACCCACCUUGGCCUCCCAAAGUGCUGGGAUUACAGGCGUGAGCCACCACCCCUGGCCCAGAUUCUAUAUCUUGACUGUGGUAGUGGCUAUGUAACUGUGUACAUUCAUCAAAAUUCAUUCAACUUUACACUUAAAAUUGUUAAAUUUUAUUGCACUGAAAUUAUACUCCAAGAAAGCUGUCUUUUUAAGGUAAACAAUACCUUAAAGGUAAAACUUAUGGGUUGAUAAAUUCCUAUGAAGUGACCUUACAGAGGGGAAGGAAGAAGAGUUGUUAAGCAACUGACUGAAUGGCAAAACCAGCGGUUCAAAUAAUGAAUUCUGAAGAAUAGGAUUUGUAGGGUGAAAUCAUGAGUCUACUCUGUGUCUGUUGAGUUUAGGAGCCUUUGAGAUACCUAAGAAGAACAAUCAAGGCGAUUGCUUGGUACAGUGGUCUAGAGCAAGCUUGUCCAAUCCACAGCCCACAGGCCACAUGGGGCCCACGACGGCUUUGAAUGUGGCCCAACACAAAUUUGUAAACUUUUCUUAAAACAUUAUGAGAUAGUAUUUCUUUUUUUUUUUCCUUUUUUUUUUAUUUUUAGCUCAUCAACUAUUGUUAUAGUUAGUGUGUUUUAUGUGUGACUCAAGACAGUUCUUCUUCCAAUGUGGCCCAGGGAAGCCAAAAGAUGGGAUACCCCUGGUCCAGAGCUUUGAAAAAGUCUUAGGUUAAUGAUAUAAGUUUGUGAGUCAUCUGCAUGUAAUCAAAAGAACAUAGGGUGAGAAAAGGGAAAGCUAAGACCAGACCUUCUGAGAAACACCAACAUUUAAAAGCAGGGAAAGAAAGAUGAGGCUACAAAGGCAUCAAAGUGGCUGGCUGGCUCUUUUAUCAGGAUGGCAAAGCAAGAGAGCUUGAAACCAUUGGGGAACAAGUGGGUGGAGAUUCCAAGAAGACAUUUGGAGAUGUGAGUAGGAACUUGGAAGAGAUGCCAGUGGAAGAAAAGUAGAUUCAAGACUCAUUCACACAUAGGUAGUAAGUUAAAGUCAUGCUGGGAGCCCCUCAACACGAGGGCAAACAGAAGAGAUAAUCCUGGAAAACACUAAGUUGUUUAUGUUGUUGUUGUUGUUUUGAGACGGAGUUUCGCUCUUGUUGCCCAGGCUGGAGUGCAACGGUGCAGUCUCAGCUCACUGCCACUUCUGUCUCCCGGGUUCAAGCAAUUCUCCCGCCUCAGCCUCCUGAGUAGCUGGGAUUACAGGUAUGUGCCACCACACCCGGAUAAUUUUGUAUUUUUAGUAGAGACAGGGUUUCACCACGUUGGCUAGGCUGGUCUCAAACUGACCUCAGGUGACCUGCCUGCCUUGGCCUCCCAAAGUGCUCAGAUUACAGGCGUGAGCCACCAUGCACAGCUGAAAACAAUAAGUAUUAAGGAGCAGUUGGAGGAUACAGAGAUUUAGGAAAGAAUGGUGUUGCCAAGAUGAAGGGAAGAAAGAAUUUAAAGAAGGAGGCAAAGGGAAACUGAAAAGCUUCAGAAAGAUCAGCUAGUGUUGGGAAUUUGGACAUGGCUGAGCUGAGCGGUUUUGGCUCAGGGUCUCUCUUACAGUCUUGGGCAGGAGGUCGGCAGGGGCUAUAGUCAUCUGAAGGCUUGACUGGGGCUGGAGGAUCCACUUCUAAUAUGGUGCCCUUGAUGCAGGAUUUUUUUGCUCCUUAGUUCAGCUAAAAUCUGGGUUCUUGUCUCAGAACCAGGAAAAAUUAGGCAUGUGGAACAUCGAAGGUUAAGGA